rnacentral:rRNA from 1 species
CCUACGGGCGGCAGCAGUGGGGAAUAUUGGACAAUGGGCGAAAGCCUGAUCCAGCCAUGCCACGUGUGUGAAGAAGGCCUUCGGGUUGUAAAGCACUUUCAGUGGGGAAGAAAGCCUUGGGGCUAAUACCCUCGAGGAAGGACAUCACCCACAGAAGAAGCACCGGCUAACUCCGUGCCAGCAGCCGCGGUAAUACGGAGGGUGCGAGCGUUAAUCGGAAUUACUGGGCGUAAAGCGCGCGUAGGCGGUCUGAUAAGCCGGUUGUGAAAGCCCCGGGCUCAACCUGGGAACGGCAUCCGGAACUGUCAGGCUAGAGUGCAGGAGAGGAAGGUAGAAUUCCCGGUGUAGCGGUGAAAUGCGUAGAGAUCGGGAGGAAUACCAGUGGCGAAGGCGGCCUUCUGGACUGACACUGACGCUGAGGUGCGAAAGCGUGGGUAGCAAACAGGAUUAGAUACCCCAGUAGUC